GACGAACGCUGGCGGCGUGCUUAACACAUGCAAGUCGAACGGUAAGGCCCUUCGGGGUACACGAGUGGCGAACGGGUGAGUAACACGUGGGUGAUCUGCCCUGCACUUCGGGAUAAGCCUGGGAAACUGGGUCUAAUACCGGAUAGGACCACUGCCUGCAUGGGUGGUGGUGGAAAGCUUUUGCGGUGUGGGAUGGGCCCGCGGCCUAUCAGCUUGUUGGUGGGGUGAUGGCCUACCAAGGCGACGACGGGUAGCCGGCCUGAGAGGGUGACCGGCCACACUGGGACUGGGAUACGGCCCAGACUCCUACGGGAGGCAGCAGUGGAGAAUAUUGCACAAUGGGCGCAAGCCUGAUGCAGCGACGCCGCGUGAGGGAUGACGGCCUUCGGGUUGUAAACCUCUUUCAGCACCGACGAAGCGCAAGUGACGGUAGGUGCAGAAGAAGGACCGGCCAACUACGUGCCAGCCGCCGCCGCAG
rnacentral:rRNA from 1 species